rnacentral:misc_RNA from 1 species
ACACCUCAACUCUCAUGGUUCUCCAUGAUGAGCUUGGACUUCUGGGGGUUUUGCUGGCCUGCGGUCGGCUCCUCCCAAAUGGAUCAGCUUUCCAGUGUUUGGUGGCGCUAUGGGUGUGAUAACUAUCUACGCUUGUGGUCGUCUGCCAGGUAACCUUUGGUGACAGAGGUUCGCUGGAGCUUACAAACGUCUCUCCUCAGCGAAGACAGCUUUUGAUCGU